rnacentral:misc_RNA from 1 species
UAGAAUCCUUUGAACUGUGAAAUACCUAGAGUAUCUUGGUCCAAUUUUCUUCCUGGAAUUUAUUAAACUUAAGUUCAUCCUUUGAAAUUAGGUUCUCUAAUACUUACGUUACCUUCAUCGUAAGUUUCUUUGCACCUAGGAUUUUUACAUUUAAUUUUUCCCAAAUUUAAAUUUCCUCCAUCGAUGUUUCCCGAAUUGAAGUGUCUUUAAACACAAUCUUUUGAAACAAAUCCCUUUCCCUGAACAUAAUCCCUUGCUUAUCUUUCCUAGUAUUUUUUAAGUAUCCUGGUCAAAGAAACAUUCGAUUCUCACAAAGAGAAAGAAAAA